ACUACGGGAGGCUGCAGUGAGGAAUAUUGGUCAAUGGGCGAGAGCCUGAACCAGCCAAGUCGCGUGAGGGAAGACGGUCCUAUGGAUUGUAAACCUCUUUUGCCGGGGAGCAAAAAGCGGUACGUGUACCGCAUCGAGAGUACCCGGAGAAAAAGCAUCGGCUAACUCCGUGCCAGCAGCCGCGGUAAUACGGAGGAUGCGAGCGUUAUCCGGAUUUAUUGGGUUAAAAGGGUGCGCAGGCGGCGAGUUAAGUCAGCGGUAAAAUUUCGGGGCUCAACCCCGACAAGCCGUUGAAACUGGCUUGCUUGAGUGGGCGAGAAGUAUGCGGAAUGCGUGGUGUAGCGGUGAAAUGCAUAGAUAUCACGCAGAACUCCGAUUGCGAAGGCAGCAUACCGGCGUCCAACUGACGCUCAGGCACGAAAGCGUGGGUAUCGAACAGGAUUAGAUACCCCAGUAGUC
rnacentral:rRNA from 1 species